CUGACUGGAUGCGGGGGCUUCACCGCCUACCAAUUCCUGACAAACUCCGAAUGCUAUAUAAUGUUUCAGGGCAGUGAGGGCAUGGGUGCUAAGGUCCAUGUCCGAGAGGGAAAGAACCCAGAUCACCGGCUAAGGUCCCAAAGUAUAUGCUAAGUUGAUAUAACGCGGUGGAACUGCAUUGACAGCCAGGAUGUUGGCUUGGAA
rnacentral:rRNA from 1 species